rnacentral:tRNA from 1 species
GCCUGGGUGGCUCAGUCGGUUAAGCGUCUGACUUCAGCUCAGGUCACGAUCUCGCGGUCCGUGGGUUCGAGCCCCGUGUCAGGCU